AUUGAACGCUGGCGGAAUGCUUUACACAUGCAAGUCGAGCGGCAGCGCGGGGCAACCUGGCGGCGAGCGGCGAACGGGUGAGUAAUAUAUCGGAACGUGUCCUAUCGUGGGGGAUAGCCCGGCGAAAGCCGGAUUAAUACCGCAUACGAUCGAGAGAUGAAAGUGGGGGACCGCAAGGCCUCACGCGACGGGAGCGGCCG
rnacentral:rRNA from 1 species